AUGCCGCGUGAGUGAUGACGGCCUUCGGGUUGUAAACCUCUUUCAGCAGGGAAGAAGCGAAAGUGACGGUACCUGCAGAAGAAGCGCCGGCUAACUACGUGCCAGCAGCCGCGGUAAUACGUAGGGCGCAAGCGUUGUCCGGAAUUAUUGGGCGUAAAGAGCUCGUAGUCGGCUUGUCACGUCGGAUGUGAAAGCCCGGGGCUUAACCCCGGGUCUGCAUUCGAUACGGGCAGGCUAGAGUGUGGUAGGGGAGAUCGGAAUUCCUGGUGUAGCGGUGAAAUGCGCAGAUAUCAGGAGGAACACCGGUGGCGAAGGCGGAUCUCUGGGCCAUUACUGACGCUGAGGAGCGAAAGCGUGGGGAGCGAACAGGAUUAGAUACCCUGGUAGUCCACGCCGUAAACGUUGGGAACUAGGUGUUGGCGACAUUCCACGUCGUCGGUGCCGCAGCUAACGCAUUAAGUUCCCCGCCUGGGGAGUACGGCCGCAGCAUCAUA
rnacentral:rRNA from 1 species